rnacentral:rRNA from 1 species
AUUGAACGCUGGCGGCAUGCUUUACACAUGCAAGUCGAGCGGCCGCACGGGCUUCGGCCUUCCGGCGAGUUACCGACGGGCGAGUAAUGCAUCGGAGCGUGCCCAGUCUAUAGGGCUAGCCCAACUAAAGCCGACUUAAUACCGCAUCCGACCUUAUGGUGAACGGCAUGGAUCAAAAGGCCACGCCCUAUUUGCUCUCCCUAUGUCGUAUUAGCUAGUUGGUUGGGUAAAGGCUUACCAAGGCGACGAUCCAUAGCUGGUCUGAGAGGACGACCAGCCACACUGGGACUGAGACACGGCCCAGACUCCUACGGGAGGCAGCAGUAGGGAAUUUUGGACAAUGGGGGCAAGCCUGAUCGAGCCAUGCCGCGUGCGGGAUGAAGGCCUUCGGGUUGUAAACCGCUUUUGUUCGGGAAGAAAACCUGUGGGAGAAUACCCCGGGGGGAUGACGGUACCGGAAGAAUAAGCACCGGCUAACUACGUG